rnacentral:lncRNA from 1 species
AUGUUUCCUCCCUUGCCACUCAGAAACUGCUGUAGCGAAGUGACCUGGACCACUGAAGAAAUUGAGUGUCUUGUUUGUUCUAAACUACCAGGAAAAACUCCUUGCCUCCCUUUGACAGUGAAGACUCAUGCUGAGAGAUCUACUGGUUUUUCAAACACCAGCUCCCAGCGACUCAACCAGCGCUCUUCCUAGUGCAUUGUGUUUCUAGGUGUGGUAUAAAUUCCUCCAAAAGCACAGCCCAUGAAUGGCAUCUUCCAAACCUGUAGCCAUCAGGCAACUGCAUUGCAUAAACUUCCCUAAGGAAAGUUUUUGUCAGGAGUCAUGAGUCACCAGUAACAAUGUGACCACGCUCAGUUUUUGUGACUUGACUGCCUGCUGGAGAAUGUAAAUAUUUAAAUCUAUGAAACCCUAAGAAAACAAACAAAAAAAAUCAAAUUGCAAAGCUCCUUACAAAAUGGAAUCUUAAUAUGCAUUUUUCAGCUCCCAGAGCGAGGGGACCUUUUUGGAAAUAUAGAUUAUGGGUCCUACUAUCCUAGCCAUGUUGGUAGCUUUCCACUGGAUGCUUUCUUUUUUCUUAACAUAUCAAGCUGGGAUGCCCAUAACUGCGCCUCUGGCUCCAUGAGGAUGAACACAGAUUUUUUUAAGUAGUUCCCAACUUGUUGUUUCCUAGGGGUACUUCAAGGUGUUGGGUUACUUAAGCCUAUUAGAUACCAUCUUCUGGUAGGUUAUCACCUUUGUGCUAGUGUCGUAUUCAGCCCUGCAUGCUGGUGCAUUUCAUGAAUAGGAAGCAAUCCAGAUUCUUUUUUUUAUUAUUAUUUUAUUUUAAUUAUUUUUCAUUUCAGUGACUGUGAACAGCAUUUUAUUCCAGAAAAAGAAGUAGUCACAAGAUCCUAGCCAUUUGGUAUAAUAACUGUUAAGUAGCUUCUACUGUGUGCACAGACACCCGAAGAGUGGCAUUGUCUAAAGGUGCUUCUGAGCAGCACAUCUGUGUAUUUGCUGCAGCCUUUGUUCACAAUGCCAUGGCUGAGGCAGAUGCAUGUUGAUUUUUAGCUAAGGUUUAUUUUAGAGGAAGUGGGAGGAAAGAAAUUAAUUAUUCGGUCACUGCUGAGCCAUUCUUUGGUUUUGGCUUUGUGCUGGCAUUUUCUUUUUCAAAUGAAUUUUUGAAUUAUUUUUUUUAAUGGAAAUGUGGGCAGAUGGACUUGGAAAAGUAACUCUUCACUAGCUCAACUGAGAAUCUGAAGCAAUUACAUAUUUUAUAGCUUCCUUAAAGCUUUAUUCUGCUCUCUCAACAAUCAUAAAACACCUCUUCAUCUCAGUAGCUGACCUGCCUGUUUCACCCACCUAGAUACUGUCCUAUGCGGCUGUUUCAGGUCCCCCCCAUCUGCUCCCACUAUUGUACACAGCCCACAGCUUAAAUACUGCCUUGCAAAUGUGUACUUUGGUUUGCCCCUGCCCACACUCAGUGACAUCUGCUUUCAUGCAGUUUCUUGGAUUUCUUGGUGGAUGCUGGCCAUCGUGUGCCCAGGACUGGCCCUAGGAGAUGUGGGGUCAGUACCAUGGGUAAAUGUUCUGGUCACUCACACUUUGAGAGGGAAUGAGAGCAAAAAGAAAAAGUGGCAAAUUCUGAAAUUUUGAAAUGUGAGGAAAUAACAUCGUCCCCCAACUAUAACUGAUGCGUUAGAAUUGUGCCUGAGGGUCUGGUGAAGGAAACUGCAAGCAACAAGGUAAGCUACAGCUGCCAGGUGGCUGAGUAACAUCUGCGUUGGUUUAAGGUUGUGUACAAAAGAAGUAGAUGAAGUACCAGCAGAUGGCACCGGGGAAUAUGCAGUGAUGUCUGUUGCGUGGGGCCAAUGACAUUUCUAGCAGCAUGUUUUGAAUAUGUACCUCAGCUCCGUGCUCUGCACUGCACAGAGCAGGGUCCCUGCUUCUGGGAUCCUGGGGUGGCAAGUGGUCUGACACUGGAGUAAGGGGACAAACCUGGCUUUCUGAGCUGCUGCAGGUAAUACCCUGCUUCCUUGCUGUCCCAUCAGAAUUUCUGUCAUCAGAAAUUCAUCCUAACUGCAUGUUGCCUUCUCUCCCCUUGGUUGGUAUGAAAAGUUCAGGUUCUCACACUCAGUUUCCAAACCUUUCUCAGUGGGUAUGUAGUCAAGAAUAUGGUUUCUGAUCCAAGGCUGGGCCAGUUUACUCCAGGAAACAAAAACCUCUGUAGUCUUUAUGCAGUCCCCAGCAACAGUAUAAGAGUAGGAGCAUCCAGCUUGCAGGCAGUCUUCAGAGCCAGCGGUGCUGCUGUUGAUGUAUUGUCAGGCUGUGUGUGAAUGCAAGUGAUCAAAGCUCCAGAUAUGAUUCAAUAAAAUCAGAAUUCUAUUAAGUCCUCA